rnacentral:tRNA from 1 species
CGUUCAGCCAGGCGGCGCGCCUGUCGCCGUUGUCGCCGGCGACGAGGUAGCUGCCGGUCUCGGCGAUGCCGAACGG